AAAACUCUCUCACUCUCUCUCUUACUCUCGAACAUACGGACUCACACACAACCUCAAUCAAACCUCCACGAACGUCCAAUUUAAGACUACCAUCGUGAUCCUGAGGACUUCACGAACACGGGGAUACCAAAUUCAGGUGAGUUUCAUUUCGAAAAACCCUAGUUUUUAAAGCCUCGUGAAAUGGCACUGUUCAUGAUCUUCUAAAUGACUACGUUUUAGGCUAAAACAAGCUCACAGUGAGCUUAAGGAGGUCACGAGGAGGCUCGGAGUGCCUCGUUUGAACAAAAUGGACGUCGGGAUCACGUUGUUCAUCUUUGGCCGGUUUUCUUGGAAUUUUUCCGGUGAGAUUUCAUGGUUUUUAGAGCUUUAAAGUAGUAUAUUGUGAUUCUACAUGUUUGGGGCUUCAAUUUGAUAUAUUAUACGAAGAAAAUGGUUGAGAAACGAAGGAGAACGAAGCAUUUGAAAAUUCCCCAGUUUUCCGGUCACCGGAAAAACCAGUCCGGCGACCCAAGGAAGAAGAAGGUGCGCGUGGGGGCGCGUGGACCCGUGCCUUCCUUGGCGCGUGGGGGCGCGUGAUACAGUAAAAAAAUUAUUUUAAAAAUAUGUCGACGUCCGUGACGUCGAGUAGAUCACUGUGGUAUAUUCAUAUACCUAAAUUGAACACCGUAUGAGAAAGUUAUUGAAGAUUGUUGGUUAGGUGUUCAAAUAACGUUUUAUAGUUUUCACAUUUAGGUGAAUUGAUGAUCCGACCGUUGGAUCGUCACCAAACUUUGAUACGUUGUAAUACGUAAUAUUUGAGGAUUA
rnacentral:lncRNA from 1 species